rnacentral:tRNA from 1 species
ACCCAGCUAGCUCAGUGGGUAGAGCAUGAGACUCUUAAUCUCAGGGUUGUGGGUUUGAGCCCCACAUUGGGCG